UUGUGCUAAUACCGUAUGUGUCCUUCGGGAGAAAGAUUUAUCGGUCAAGGAUGAGCCCGCGUUGGAUUAGCUAGUUGGUGGGGUAAAGGCCUACCAAGGCGACGAUCCAUAGCUGGUCUGAGAGGAUGAUCAGCCACAUUGGGACUGAGACACGGCCCAAACUCCUACGGGAGGCAGCAGUGGGGAAUAUUGGACAAUGGGCGCAAGCCUGAUCCAGCCAUGCCGCGUGAGUGAUGAAGGCCCUAGGGUUGUAAAGCUCUUUCACCGGAGAAGAUAAUGACGGUAUCCGGAGAAGAAGCCCCGGCUAACUUCGUGCCAGCAGCCGCGGUAAUACGAAGGGGGCUAGCGUUGUUCGGAAUUACUGGGCGUAAAGCGCACGUAGGCGGAUCGAUCAGUCAGG
rnacentral:rRNA from 1 species